rnacentral:sRNA from 1 species
CAAAUGAACGCAGCUUAAGAACGCCACUUCCUGUGGCAAUAGCUGUAUGACCUACAUCCUGUAG